AAAGCUUUGAAAAUAAUGGACUUUUUUUUUUUACUUUGCUUUUUUCUGAUUUUGAAAAAAAGACUCAAUUGAAAGACACAGAGGGUGGGGGUGACCAAUGGGUGUUGCAUCUGUGGAGUUCGUUGAUCCAAGCGAACCUGUUGCAAUGGUUCCCAUGCUAAAGUUCUUUCAUGUGUCUCUUUCAAUUCUUAAGGUGUGUGUAGUAGAGAAUUAUGAACAAGUGUGAAACAGCUUGAAAGGAAAUGAAAACCCCAAGUUAUUGCAAAAAAAAGGGGGUGGGGCGCUGGAAGAGGAGGAGGAGGAAGGGGGCUGCAUUUACAGGGUAGGGAUGGAGGUGAGGGCUGGAAAAGGAGAAAACGUAGAGAGGAGCGGCGUGGGCGGAGUGGGGUGUGCGAAAAAGAAAGAAAA
rnacentral:lncRNA from 1 species